rnacentral:pre_miRNA from 1 species
GAACCCGUGUUGGAGAAGGGGAGCACGUGCAACAACUUACUAGCUUUUCUUUGCGUUUGAAAAGCAAAAGCAAAGCCAAAAGGGUUUGCACGUGCCCUGCUUCUCCAACAAGGAGCC